rnacentral:rRNA from 1 species
CAACGCUGUAUAGUGGAUGUCUCGGCUUGGUAUCUGAUGAAGGGCGUGACAAGCUGCGAUAAGCCCCGGGUAGGUGCAAGUAACCUUUGAUCCGGGGAUGCCCCAAUGUGACAUCAUAUAUUAAGUAAUGUUAAUAUACUCCCGUCAGGGAGAGGGAACGUGCUGAAGCGAAGCAUCAUAAUAAGCGCAGGAAAAGAAAGCAAUAGCGAUUCCGUGAGUAACAGCGAGCGAAAACGGAAUAGGUCAAACCGAAUCCGCACGGGAAACUGUGUGGAGAUGUGGAGUACGGACUCGUGUCGAGCCUCCUUGGAGAAGUUGAACCUUUCUGGAAUGUUAGACCGUAGAGGGUGACAGUCCCGUAAACGUAUUCCAAGUGGCUUAUGGCGAGUAUCCUGAGUAGCGCGGGAUAGUUUUUCCGUGCAAAUGUACCUGAUACUAACAGGUAAACCUAAACAUAACCCAAGACCGAUAGCGUAUUAGUACCGUGAGGGAAAGAUGAAAAGCACCCAGGAAUGGUUGUGAAAAGUGCCUGAAACUAUACAGUUAAGACUGAAGCGGUCUGAAAGAGAUAAUGCUCUUCGAAGUCGCCUUGUGUGAACUUGGAGACGAGUGGAGCGGAUCAGGAUUGCUUCUUUAUUCUAGAAACAUUAGCCAGGGAGCUUAUGUUAGUGGCGAGAUUAAGGGGAUCAUCCCCGAAGUCGCAGGGAAACCAAUACACCCGCAAGCCUAUUAUUACACUUAGUUGUGGUUUUACCGGUGCGCCGGUGGAAUUCAACUUUGAAGAGAUAGGUCCAGGGGUGCGGUGUGAAAGCGCCUAUAGUCACUGAUGUAAUGCCCGAAGUCGGACGAUCUAGGCCUGGUCAGGGCGAAGUGCUUCGAAAGGAGCAUGGAGGUCCGAUAUCGUUCUGACGUGCAAUUCGUUGAGUUGAACUGGGUCUAGGCGGAAAAGCCAAAUCUAGUCCGAGGAUGGCUGGUUCCCCUCGAAGCUGCUCAAAGGCAGGCCUCAUACGAGAAUGAUUGUGGUGUAGAGCACUAAUUCGCUUGGUACGGAGAGUAAAAUCUUCGCCGGCCUCUUAAACUCCGAAGCUGCAAUCUUUGUUGACUAUGGGAGACGGCUUACCCGCGGUAAGCGUGGGUGGCGAGAGAGAAACAACUCAGACCUCGGUUAAGGUCCCUAAGUGUAGACUAAGUGUUAAACCGAAUGGCGUCAAUUUUCUAAGACAGCAAAAAGGUAGGCUCAGAAACAGCCACCCUAUAAUGAGUACGUAACAGUUCAUUUGCUAAGAAAAUUGGCCCAGAAAAUGGACGGGGCUCAAGUCUACCACCGAUACCGAGGGGCAUACGCAGUAGUGUGUAUGAUCCGGUAGAGGGGCGUGGGGUUCGAGAUAAAGUAGGGCUGUAAAGUCCUAUGAAUCGUUCUCCAGUGCAGAUCCUGGCAGUAGUAACAGCUUAGAUACGUGAAAAUCGUAUCCGCCGAAAGGUCAAGGGUUUCUUGGCAAUACGUCGUUAGCCAAGAGUUAGUCGUUCCUAAGCUCAUUCUUAACCGUCUUGAGCGAAAGGGAAACAGAUUUAUAUUUCUGUACUUGGAAGGUAGGUAUUCGGUGACGAACGACUGAUUUGUGACGGAAGAAGAUAGCUCAGGCAGGACUGUCGUUCCUGUUUAAAUGUAUACAUCUGGGGUGUGCCUUUGCGGCGAGAACCAGAUUAAAGCAUGAAUAGCCACCUUAUUGUGGGAGGUCUGAGGCGACUCUUAUUCCCACUGAAAAGCAAAUCAGUAACGAACUUUCAAGACGUACCCAGAACCGACACAGGUGUACCUAAGGUGAGAAGCCUAAGGCGUGUGGAAAUACAGAUUGUUAGGGAAAUCGGCAAAAUGGAGCGGAACCUUCGGAAGAACGCUUGCUUGGAAUCUUUGCUUAGGCGAGGGAUUCUAAGUUGCAAUAACUAGUACCACCCGACUGUUAAAUACAAACAUAGCUUUCUGCAAGACCGAAAGGUUGUGUACAGAAAGUGAAUCCUGCCCAGUGCAAGUCAGUCAAUACCCGGUUCAACGGGAAUAAGCUCUUGUAAACGGCGGGAGUAACUAUAACUCUCUUAAGGUAGCCAAAUGCCUUGUCGUAUAAGUAACGACGUGCAUGAACGGAUCAACGCGGUGGUAACUGUCCCAACAUUCUACUCCGUGAACCUACAGGACGGCGAACGGUCCGUCACACACCGUUGGGAAGAGAAGACCCCAUGGAGUUUUACUGCAGCUUGUUCUUGACAUACUCUUUUACAUGCAGAGUGUAGCUGGGAGCGUAGAUAUUGUGCUUUCGGGUGCAAUGGAGCAAUAAUGGAACACCAGCCUUGUAAAGGGGCAUGUCUAACUCGGAAGACGCUUCCGAGGACACGUGCAGGUGGGCAGUUUCGGUGGGGCGCCAGACCUUGGAAAAGAUAUCCAAGGUACCCUAAGGUCAACUCAAACGGGACAGAAAUCCGUUGAAGAGUGGAAAGGCAAAAGUUGGCCUGAUGGGACCCUCGACAGCAAGGGGUCCCGAGACGAAAGUCUGGCUUAACGAUCCUUUACAAUCUUUUAGUAGGUGGUAAAGGUGAUAGAAAAAUUACCCUGGGGGUAACAGAGUUGUCGCAGGCAAGAGUUCAUAUCGACCCUGCGGCUUGCUUCCUCGAUGUCGGCUCUUCCUAUCCUGGACAUGCAGCAAUGUCCAAGGGUGGGGCUGUACGCCCAUUAAAAGGGAACGUGAGCUGGGUUUAGACCGUCGUGAGACAGGUCGGAUUCUAUCUAACGGUGUUGUUGGGAAUUUGAGAGCAGCGUGCGUCCAGUACGAGAGGAACAACGCGCGGUCGCCUCUGGUGAGGGGUUGUUCGACAGAGCAUGCCCCACAGCUACGCGGCAAAUCAUAAAUGCUGAAAGCAUCUAAGCAUGAAGGAUGCCUCGAAACUAGAUUCCCAUUCUUAACUAUUUUAAUAAUUAACUGGCCGGUAAGAGAACCUCUGCGUUGCCGCGUGGAGUAGUAUUGCCGGCAAAGGAUUAUGGGCGGGGGCUGGUGACAGCAACCGCAUGAUUAAGACGAGCUCACCCGUAAAAGACGGGGUAGGUGAGUCAGGCGGUGUAAACACGAAGCUUUUGCGACGUGCGUAGCCGGCCGAUCUCAAUAGAGCGAGU